rnacentral:rRNA from 1 species
UAAGACGAGCCUCACAAACGUUAUUCGGAAUUACUGGGCUUAAAGGGUGCGUAGGCGGCGCGGAAAGUUGGGUGUGAAAUCCCUCGGCUCAACCGAGGAACAGCGCCCAAAACUACCGUGCUCGAGGGAGAUAGAGGAAUGCGGAACUUAGGGUGGAGCGGUGAAAUGCGUUGAUAUCCUAGGGAACACCGGUGGCGAAAGCGGCAUUCUGGAUCUCUUCUGACGCUGAGGCACGAAAGCUAGGGUAGCGAACGGGAUUAGAUACCCCGGUAGUCCUAGCCGUAAACGAUGAGCACUGGAUUGAAGGCUCCUCCAUAGGCUUUCAGUCGCAGAGAAAUUGUUUAGUGCUCCGCCUGGGGAGUAUGGUCGCAAGGCUG